rnacentral:rRNA from 1 species
UACAGAGGUCUCAAGCGUUGUUCGGAUUCAUUGGGCGUAAAGGGUGCGUAGGUGGCGCGGUAAGUCGGGUGUGAAAUUUCGGAGCUUAACUCCGAAACUGCAUUCGAUACUGCCGUGCUUGAGGACUGGAGAGGAGACUGGAAUUUACGGUGUAGCGGUGAAAUGCGUAGAGAUCGUAAGGAAGACCAGUGGCGAAGGCGGGUCUCUGGACAGUUCCUGACACUGAGGCACGAAGGCCAGGGGAGCAAACGGG